rnacentral:sRNA from 1 species
CCAGGGGAUAGGCAAGAUCCCUAAGACCAACUCGUAAGAUUCCAGCUUCUAAGAAUCAGGUCCAAUAUCCGGAGCCAGCAGCAAGUGCCUCACAUACAAGCAGGUCCCUGACAGCAUUUGGUUAGAGGCGCGUCAAGUGAGCCAUCUGAACAGCAGACAGCUUCCUGGGUCUUCAUGGUCAUUUUAUGCAGUCUAGAGAGACAGAUCAAACUUACUUCUGAAGAGAACAGGGUAGCAGCAGAUUCCAGAGAGCUACUGACUUUGGUGCCUCCUUUU